AACUGUCUCCUGUGACUGAUUCUCUCUGACACUGUCAACUCAUUGAUCCCAAGUCAUCAGUGCUUUAGCAACAUGUAGCUGUUGUAGCAGCAGGUGGAGCUGGUUUUAAUUACAUUAUUAAUGGUCAGAUAGUUUUGUCCCCUCCACAGGGAAAUGAGAUCCCUGUGGGUCUACAGAUAGUCAAUGGGAGAGAGAAGAAGAACAAACUUCUGAUUCAUCUGUUUGAAUUUUUCAAACUUUUAACCAAUCUUAAAUUUGAUUACUGUAAUAUUCUGGAUAAUUUUACAUCUUUGAGGUUAAAUAAAACUGUGUGAGAAGUUUAGAGUGGAACUUUAGAGUUUGGAAGACGUCACAAGUCAAAAAGGUUAGGAACCACUGGUUGUAGGCAUCAUUGUUCAUGGCAGCUGACAGACUAUAUUUUAUAAACUAGAACCCUGAUCUAUUGAUUUGUUAAUAUAAAAUGUUUUAUUUAUUAAUUUAUUGUUACAUUUCAAUAUGCAUAAACAAGAGGGCCAUUUGUAUCUGACUUGUACAUAAAAAUAAUAUUUGUAGCAGGAUUUAAAAGAUGAGACAGACUCAGCAGCAGAUCCUCAGUCUCUGUUUUCUGUAUCUCAGACUGAUCUUUGACGAAACUGAUCAUUUUUCAGUGUUUUUAUAAAAAAAACUUUUCUGGUAAAACAACAGCAGAAACUUUGUCCUGUUUAUCCAGUGACGCUGGUGUGGUCUCUGAUGAUGACCUGCUCCACCGUGUCUGAUGUUAUCGUGUACAUAGUGCGACUGUGUGUUUGUCUGUUUUUCUACCUUGUGGUGAAAUGCUUCAGCCUGUUUUAAAAGAAAUGAGCAGCUCUGUGGUCGUCCAGCUUCCUGUUUCUGAUGAACACCCUUCACUUAUGUUUGGUCUCAGAGAGUGAUCCAGCUGCAGUCUACUCAGCAGUGAAAAGACCAGAAAACGUCGGUUAUGGACAAAAAGCCAACAGGACCAGAGCAUGUCCACCAGAACCAGAGGUGGUCUACUCUUCACUGAGGUAGACCUUCACUCCUUCACACCGGUCCACCCACUGACGUCCUCCUGCUGACUGCUGACUGUAACUGCUCACCACAGCCUCUCACACCAAACUACACUCAUUUUAUAUGUUGUGUGUCUUGUUCUCACUAAAUUAACCUCAUGCAGCUACAGAGACAAACAACAAGUCCACAUAGUUCUCAGUGUUUCAGAUCAGUGAUCAGCUCCAACAUGUUACUAUUCUCAUUUCUAUGUUCCUGUUUACCAGAAUCUGAUGAUAGCUGCCAUUAGUUUAGUGGUUAAUGAAGUCAUGAACUUUACUGUUAUUUCUAAUCUUUGUGUUUUUGGAGCCUGCUCUUGUUCCUGCAGCAGUGAUCUGGUUUCUCUGCAGGAUCAAUAAACUUUAGUCUCAUUA